rnacentral:rRNA from 1 species
GACGAACGCUGGCGGCGUGCCUAAUACAUGCAAGUCGAACGCAGGGGGGACGGGUGAGUAACACGUGGGUAACCUCCCAUCAGAGGGGAUAACACUUGGAAACAGGUGCUAAACCGAUACUGAUGGAUGGACCCGCGGUGCAUUAGCUAGUUGGUGAGGAAACGGCCCACCAAGGCCACGACGCAUAGCCGACCUGAGAGGGGGGUCGGCCACACUGGGACUUGGACACGGCCCAGACUCCUACGGAAGGCAGCAGUAGGGAAUCUUCGGCAAUGGACGAAAGUCUGACCGGGCAACGCCGCGUAGGUGAAGAAGGUUUUCGGAUCGUAAGACUCUGUUGUUAGGAAAGCGGUAUCUAACCAGAAAGCCACGGCUAACUACGUGCCAGCAGCCGCGGUAAUAC